GUGGGGAAUAUUGGACAAUGGGCGAAAGCCUGAUCCAGCCAUGCCGCGUGUGUGAAGAAGGUCUUCGGAUUGUAAAGCACUUUAAGUUGGGAGGAAGGGCAGUAAGUUAAUACCUUGCUGUUUUGACGUUACCGACAGAAUAAGCACCGGCUAACUUCGUGCCAGCAGCCGCGGUAAUACGAAGGGUGCAAGCGUUAAUCGGAAUUACUGGGCGUAAAGCGCGCGUAGGUGGUUUUGUAAGUUGGAGGUGAAAUCCCCGGGCUCAACCUGAGAACUGCCUCCAAAACUGCAUGACUAGAGUACGGUAGAGGGUAGUGGAAUUUCCUGUGUAGCGGUGAAAUGCGUAGAUAUAGGAAGGAACACCAGUGGCGAAGGCGACUACCUGGACUGAUACUGACACUGAGGUGCGAAAGCGUGGGGAGCAAACAGGAUUAGAAACCCCAGUAGUCC
rnacentral:rRNA from 1 species